rnacentral:lncRNA from 1 species
CGCGGAUCUGCUUACUUUCUGACGUAGUUUCUGGAGCGAGGCAGUCGCUGUGCGGAGGAUUUUCAGGACGUUUGUACCGACUGAAGUUUCCUCUUUUGAGAGCUGGCCUGCUUUGAGGGGAAUCCUUUCCUACCAGAAAAAUAUCAGCAGCACAGAAGAGACAUACUGUGGUAACGUGUGUGACAAUGGAGGAGCUGGGGACAGCCAGAUCCACUGAGCAGUUGCAGAAUGAAGGUCUCUCUGACAUCAUCCCCAACACCUUUCAAUCAUCUUUGAUUCUCUCUUUCUCCUGAAGUGUAGAAAAGGGCUUUCUCUGAAGUUCCCUUAUCUACCCAAAGAUCGGCUCUGUCAAAGAACACAAUGACCUUCAAGUCUUCUUACUGAAAUUUUCUUAAUCAAGGAAGAGAUUGAAAAUCAAAUACCACACCAUAGCCCAGAGGAACUUUGUCCCAGCCCAUUGCUUUUUUCUAAGCUCAUUCAUUUCUCCUAAAAAUCAUUUCCUACCUCUUUAAAAUUGCUUCUACUUCUCCAUCACCACUUGCCCCUCUCUCUCCUUUCCCCUAUAAAGGGAGAAUUUAAGAUGCAGACAUCUGAGUCGGGUACAGUGGCACAAACCUGUAAUCUCAGCUACCCAGAAUGCUGAAGCAAGAAG